rnacentral:rRNA from 1 species
UAAGACCUCGCGUUAUUGGAGCGGCCGAUGCCGGAUUAGCUAGUUGGUGAGGUAAGAGCUCACCAAGGCGACGAUCCGUAGCUGGUCUGAGAGGACGACCAGCCACACUGGGACUGAGACACGGCCCAGACUCCUACGGGAGGCAGCAGUGGGGAAUUUUGGACAAUGGGCGCAAGCCUGAUCCAGCCAUGCCGCGUGAGUGAAGAAGGCCUUCGGGUUGUAAAGCUCUUUCGCAAGGAAAGAAAACUUAUCUAUUAAUACUAGAUGAGGUUGACGGUACCUUGAUAAGAAGCACCGGCUAACUACGUGCCAGCAGCCGCGGUAAUACGUAGGGUGCGAGCGUUAAUCGGAAUUACUGGGCGUAAAGCGUGCGCAGGCGGUUUUGUAAGUCAGAUGUGAAAUCCCCGGGCUCAACCUGGGAACU